rnacentral:tRNA from 1 species
GCGCUCGUAGCUCAGAUGGAUAGAGUACCAGACUCCGACUCUGGGGGUCGUGGGUUCGAGCCCCGCCGGGCGCGCCA